UCAGACAGUCGCUGGUGCCGAUAGGCAUUAGAGGAAAGUCCAUGCUCGCACAGCCUGCGACGGCUGUAGUGUUUGUGCCGGAUGAAGACAUAAAUCCGGGCAGGUUCACGCCUGACGGCUGCGCUCCUUCCUAAAGCUCUGCCAUGGAAUGAGCGCUUUAAAAGUGCCACAGAGACGAGCGCGCCGGGAAACCGGUGCGAUGGAACGGGUAAACCCCGCAAGCGAGAAACCCAAAUUUGGUAGGGGAGCCUGCCGGAGCGAAAUGAAGCGAAGGCGGGACACGAAAGUGUAGAUAAAUGACUGUCGCCCGCAAGGGAACAGAACAUGGCUUAC
rnacentral:RNase_P_RNA from 1 species